GGCCUGGUAGUGAAGCCUGGCAUCAUGAUACGUUCGGGACGCAUUGAGCGUGGGUUCGAAUCCCACUCAGGCCA
rnacentral:tRNA from 1 species